rnacentral:lncRNA from 1 species
CUCAGUUCAGGUCUCCAAAUUGCUUCCGCACCACAUCAUGAGAUAGCACAUCAGAAGAAUGAAAGUAAUUAGUUUGAUCAUCAUCAGACAGUUUUCAACAUCAGAAAACAUCAGAUAAACAACAAAAACCAUUGUUUUGGGGCGGGAAGAAGAUAGAAUGAAGUGUUUCCUCAGUUCACAUCUCCAAAUUGCUUCCACACUGUGCCAGGAUAAAAAAAUUAUCACGGUUUUUCUCUUAGAAUAUUUCUGAGGGCACCCUCAGAACAUUUGCAUAAUUGUAUCACAGUAUUUUUCUUAGAAUAUUUGUGCAGACAUCAGGAUGCACAAACAGGAACAGAAUGGCAACUAGAAAACAAAUAAAUAACAAUAUGAGGUAUGUCAUUGCUUCUGAUCACUCUUAGGUGAUAAUAUAUAUCUCAUCAACACAUGAAUCAGACAACAAUAUUUUACCAAGUGAUCACCACUCACCAGGAUCCAAGAACAACAAUCUGCGGUCCAGAAACAGGAAAGAAGAAUCAAACCACAGAAUCCCCAUUUCAGGUCGCCAACUUUUAAUACCAUUGUGAUUGAUGGUUGAGCUGUCAGACAAUGCUUUCUAGGCAAAUGCAUCUCAAUCAAGCAAAAGAAUAGUCAAGCAGAAGUGAAGAAAGAGGAUAAAGGAAUAAUAGAAGAUCAAAUCAGUAGCCCUCAGGUAUUAUGCUUAUGUUUUUCAUCAACGGAGAAAACUCAGGUCUCAAAGAUGUGCCAUCACUGGACCCGGCUCCUCUACCGUGCCCAGCAGCACGGUACUCUGCCGUGCCUUCUUCCUACCCAGGGGUACGCGCUGGUAUGGGCCAGAAUAUCCCCUAAAAAAGGAAGAUAUGGGUCAAAGUCCAACCAGCCUAGCAAACCUGAUACAUCAUCACACACCGCUAAAAAAAACCUAAUGCAUCACACCCCUGCAUAUUAACUAAUUAACUAUUACUUUUCUAAUUCGCAAAAAAAUAUAUUACUUUUCUGAAAAAGUAAUUAACUAUUAUUAUUUUCCCUAAAAAAUAUUAUUAUCUAAAAAACACCAAUUUUGUAUCUCGGUCAUAUAUUAUGCAGAGCGAAUUUUGUAUUUUAUAUUUUCCUUUUUAUAACUUAUUAUUGUUUUAUCGGUUGGAUUGGUCCUUUUAUUUUUAUUUUUUGUGCCUUUUGUUUCUCCUCGCAACGUUCCUUGCUUGCGCAGCGGCCUACCAAAAAAUAGACCGCUACUAGUUGUUUGGGCUAAAUUUAUUGAAUAAUCCUAUUUGAUAACCUCAUAUAAUUCGUAAAAAGCCCGGAUAAUCUACAUCCAUCGGAUAUUAUCGAUACCGUAUCCACUACCAUAUCCGUCGAAUAUCCGGUUGACCAAAAUCCAUAUCCGGGGGAUUCAUGUGGCCACAGUUACAUGUCCAUGGAUUGCACGUAAUUACAGUUCCACGUUAGUCGGGCGGGCAUAAAUGUGUUCACAUGUUUCUCAUAGGUGCUCAUAAGGGCAGUGACGGGCAUGCAUCUGGUGUGCAACUGUAGUGUCACGUGGGCGACGAAUAUGCAACUCUAGUUACACAAGUAGCACGCAAAAAAGACAAAAAAAACAUACUAAUCAAACUGAUUAAACAAUAACAAAUCAAAAAUAGGAGAAAGAAAAAUAUUAAGUAUUAAAAAUCGCUCCGCAUAGAAUAUGACUCAGAUUUAGCAAAACCAUUUUUCUAAUACGAGUUCAUUUUCAUUUAAGAAUGUUGCUCAUGUGUAUUGCUACCUCCGUUCCAAUUUUUUUGUCUUAGAUUUGUCUAAAUACGGAUAUAUCAAAUCAUGUUCUAGUAUUAGAUAUAUCCAUAUCUAGACAAAUCUAAGACAAGAAUUUUGGGACAGAGGGAGUAAAAGUUAACAUUUUAUACAAUAAUAAGUAGGUAAUUACUCUCGUUAAUCUGUGCAUAGAUGAACGGCUGGGCUGGUUAGUUCUAAUUUAUGAUCCAUAGGCCCAAUACCAAUGGGUACGCUGGGUAAGAAGGCACGGCAGAGUACCGUGCCGCUGGGCACGGUAGAGGAUCCUCACUGGACUCACAGAACUGAACUGAAUAGAAAAGGACAAAUUAACAUCAGGCAAUUUUGGAGAACAUUAUUCACUGGGGACGCAACUCAAGAUCACCAUAAAGUCUAGUCCUUCUGACAAAUUCAAGCCCCGGAGAAAUAAAACAGAGGGAUAAACUAAUCAAGGAGCUGAGUCAUAGAUUCAGAACAAAAAGCAAGUGCUCUUCGACAUGUUGGUACAUACAGAGAAGAGCAUUAAUUGUGGAAACCACCAAUGAGUAUGGAAGAAUACACAUGAAUUAACAUUCAAAAGCUAAAUCUGUCCUUAGAAUUACGGAAUGACAGCACGGACGCAUAGCAACAAAUCAGUCCCGAAAGAUGGUAUGAUUAAGAUGGUUUUCAUCAUGAACAGGACUGCAUAAUGAAGACAAAAAUGGACUGCAUAAUGAAGACAAAAAUUUAAAAUUCUAGAGGAAAUCUGGUAGGUGGACACCAGAAUUGCCGAUUUUUACAGCAUGGCACACAAAGCGCACCAAUCAGUCCCAAAAGAUGGUUUGUUUUGUUUGUUAUUUUUCACCAUUGUCCAACCAAAUUCUCAAACAGAAUAAACAACAGUAUCAAGGACAAAAAGAAAGACGGAAGAGAUAUCAAAGGAUUAUAGAAGUAUCUACAAAAAUUAUGACAAUCAAAUAAUGUUUAAUUUGUCCUCAGAAUUGCAGAAUGACAGCAUGGACACAUAGCGACCAAUCAGUCCCAAAAGAUGGUAUGAUUAACAGGUUUUUCGUCACAGGACAAACAUAAACACAAACACAAAACAUCCAGGUCUACAAAGGUCAGAAUUGCAGAUUUAACAGCAUGGCACACAGAGCGCACCAAUCAGUCUCAAGAAGGUAAAUAUAAUCAAUAUCAAGGAAAAACAUAGUGAAAAAGCUUAAAGACCCAAAGGAGAAGGCACACAAUAACCAAAGAGGAUGAGAAAAGAGACUAAACAAUGAGCUCAUGUAUGCCCCAAGACAUCCAAGGAAGGAUCUGAUAGCAUUAGCUCUCAAAAAUGGCUGGGCAAAAGCUCUUAAAACGUAACUGCGAAUGUUUUGAGAAAAAGGCCUUAAUUUUAAUCAUCCCUACUAAAGCAAGUAUUGCAUCAGACAUAAAUUUUCCAGCACUGCAUCCAAGGAAGGAUCAAACAGCACAAGCUCUUAGGCGGCAACUGCAAAUGUUUUGAGAAACAAACCUUGCUUUCAACAUCAUUUGCAAUGCAGGGCCAUAUUGAACAUAUUAUGUUUAGAUUGCUGAAGGUCAUUGAGAAACAUAAUAUUGACCAGGAGAAAUAACAAGGCUCAGACAUCCAAGGAAGGAAUCAGCAGCAUCAGCUCUCAAGCCUGGCAAGGCAAAAGCUCUUAGGCUGCAACUGCGAAUGUUUUGAGAAACAAGCCUUAAAUUUAUCAUGAUUGCCCUAAAUUUCCUAGUAGCAAAACUUCUACAAAUAUAUCAGACAAUAAUGAAGUACCAAGUUCCUAUCAAUGAAUGAAAACUAAUUCUUGGCCCAAUUAAAGAUACCAUCCUUUUAGAGAAGUUGCUCUAAAACAGAGUAUACGCCUGUGCCUGUGAGCCCAGUUGGGCUUUCCCUGGCUGAAGGCUGAAAUUCACUUGGGCUAGGAGUACCGAGGGCAUUGGAGAACUGAAGGCACCUAGACUGAUCACCCCCUCAAAGAAAAACCUAGACUGACCGAAAGACUAGGUCAAAGGUGCUCAUCAGUCUCCUCUCACAAUUCAAUGUGUUUGUACAGCAAAUAAUGCAUAGCAUCACCGGCCAAAAUCUUCUAGAAAAAGAACAGUGCACCGAGAUAAACCACAUACAUACUAAUCAUCAACAUAUGCAGCACCCCUCCAAGGAAGUAAGACAGAGAUAACUGUAUUUUUUAAGUGAUUUCAUCAUCCACAUACAUAAUAAUCAGUUUGAGUUGAAAAAUAAUUAUAAAGUACAAUUUGCAGAACCUAUCAGAUCUUCCCAUAUCGAUAACUGAAAUGGUAACCAAGAAUUAGAUCCAAAAGGCAGAAAAAAAUAACAGAGUACCGCUUGUGAAUAUAUGCAUCACAAGCAUCAUGUCGGACGACGAAGCCAAUCCCAUGGGAUCAUCCAGCUGAUCCUUAGAACUCCACUAAUGCAAGAAUAAUUGUAAUUUCUGAGUUCAUUUAUGUUCUACUGUUCUCCCUAGAGCCAGUGAUGCUAUCAAAACCAUUCUCGUAUUUCUUCAACCGAAUCUGAAGCACAAAUACUGAUAUUGUCCCACAGCAUGUCUGACAUGGGGAAGGUCAAUCCAAGGCAAGCUCCAACCAUUGCAUGGGGCGGCAAGAGGUGACUGAGUUAGCAUCGUUUCGGGGCAGCACGCCUACCACUUGAAUCUUGUUCAGACUUCGUGCACAUAUGAAGACUUCUCAAGUGGAGUUAAUCAUUAAAAAAGUACAAAAGAUGAUUUCAAGCGCCUCAGAGAUCUUGGUGGUUGUGAUCAUCAAAUGGGGUCGUUGCCCCAUCAAGAGUAGCCAGGGAGAACAGUAGAACACAAACAAACACAACUAAAACAAAUAAGGCUGGUCAUAGUGGGGAGUAACUUAGACUAGUAACAUACAUAUGUCACUAGUCACUAGUAACAUACAUAUGUUACUAGUCUAUGUUACUACCUUCAUAGUGGGUAGUGUCAUAGGUGUGGUAACAUAGUUGCCUUCAUUUAUUACUUUGUAGACUCAUUAUGCAUUGGAAACCGCUAUGUGAUGGUAACAUAUUAUGUUACUCUAUUUGCUUCUCUCCUCAUUAACUACUUGCCACAUCAUCAUUUUUGCUUAUGUGGCAUCUAUGUUACUACCUAUGUUACUCCCACUAUGACCAGCCUAAGAAAAGAUUGGACGACAAGUCAGAAGAAACAGAAUCUCACAAUGUAUACAGAAUACAGUUUCUAUAACCAAAAGGCACACAAUGCUGGAGUAAUCCUGUCAGACUUAAAGUAUUUUCAGCACCCUUCCCGGGAAGGAAGACAGGGAUACCUCUAUUUUUACUUGUAAUCUCAUCAUCCACAUCCAUAUUAAUUAGUUCGAAAAAAACAAUAAAAAUCAAAUGCUCAUACAAUCUAUCAUGGCCAGCUAAUUUAGAGGACGACAUGUGAAUUUAUGUGGCGUUUCCAGGAUAAGCUGGCACAGAGGAUGCCACCAAUCAGGAUAUACCACACAUCAGAGAAUCAUGUGUAGCGUCCGAGACUAAUCGCCAUGAGGAACACAAAUCAUCCUCAGGAAUUGGUAAUGAACGCACACCAAAAAAGGUUGUUUUGGGAGGGAAGAUAUAAUGAGUAUUUCCUCAGUUCAGGUCUCCAAAUUGAUUCCGCACCGCAACACAAACUAGCGCAUCAGAAGAAUGAAAGUAUUUAGAAUAAAUCAUCGGACAGUUUUCAACAUCAAAAAACAUGAGAUAAACAACAAAACCAAUUGUUUCAGUGCGGGAACAAGAACAAAAGUAUUUAGUUUGAUCAGCUUCGACAUCAUGUACAGUCAUCAGGAGCCCAAAACAAGGACAAAAUAACCAAAAAUAAACACAAACGAACAAUAUCAGCUACAUCGUUGCUUCUGAGCCAUCUAGGUGAUAAUAUAUAUCUCAUCAACACAUGAACCAACAAAGGUGAUCACAAGGAUGCAUGAACCAACAAUCUGCGAUGAACAAACAGACUACGAAAGAAAAAUUAAACUGCGGUAUCCUCAGCUCUUACAUACUCGAGAUUUGCAGUAGUUAAGUACCUGAUUGAUUGUUAAACUGUAAGAAGCAAAUGCACCUCCAUCAAGCAAAAAAAUAAUCAAUCGAGAGUGAAAAAAGAGGAUCAAGGAAUAACAGAAGGUUGAAUCAGUAGCCCUCAGGGAUUAUGCUUAUGAUUUUCAUCAAGGAAGAAAACUCAGGUCUCAAAGAUGUGCCAUCACUGGACUCAAGACCUUAACUGAAAAGGGCAAACUAAAAAUCAUAAAACAUACAAUGAUAAGCAGGAGCAAUUUUGGAGAAUGUUAUUCGCUGCACCUCACAAUUAUAAAUAGGGGAAGCGACUCAAGAUCCCAAUAAAGUCGGCCCUGGGAAAAAUCGAGACCCAUAAAUAUAUAAAACAGAAGGAUCAACUAGUCAAAGGGCACUUCAACAUAAUGUGUCCUCAGAAUUGCAGAAUGACAGCAUGGCCGCCUAGCAACCAAUCAGUCCCGAAAGAUGGUAUGAUUUAACAGGUUUUUCAUCACAGGACAACCAUAAACACACAAAACAAGGUCCACAUAGGUCGAACCUACAUUAUUUUAGGGUUGGACGUCAGAACUGCAUGUUUGAAAACAUGAAACAAAAGACAACAUAGCACAAGAGCGCACCAAUCAGACUCAAUAAUAAUAAUGACGGAAAUGUUGAUGUGGCAAGCUGCAUUUAUAUUCAUAAACAAAAAUGCUAAAAAUCUGACAUCAGAUUCUUUUAGGCAUGACAAAUCAACCAUGUUGCGAAAUUUAGUUGGCAAGCACUUUUUCUGUCAAAAUCUGACAUUUGAUGCAUUUAGGUCCUAUCCAAGAUAAAAUGAAUAAGUUCAGGCGCUUAGUUGUUAACCUUCAACUAAACUCCAGGCAUCUUAUCUUGGGAUUGAAACCGAUACUAUCUGUGCUGCUUUCAGAUUAAGCUUUUCUUUGCCUUUUUAUUUUCUCCACACACCAUGUUGUUUUGCUGUCAAAGCAAAGCUGUAAAAAGACAGCAGCAUUCUCGUAUUUCUUCAAACUGCAUCUGAAGCAGAAACAGUAACAUAUUUUCCAACCGUUGAGUGAGCCAGCACAGGACAACUGAGAGGGCAUCGUUUAGCGGCAGGGCAGCACACAGCAACUGAAGACUUUACAUGUGGGAACUGUACAGAGAACCAUCAAAAAAAUAAGAAAUGAUUUCCAGGGCCUCAGAGAUCUUGGUGGUUGUGAUCGUCAAAUGAGGUCGUUGCCCCAUCAAGAGUAGCAAAUAUUUUGAAAACAUCACUGGCUCCAAGGAGAACGCGAACAAACAUAGCUAAAACAAAUAAGAAAUAAACGACUGAAGCCACCUAAAGGCAGAUUGUAAGACGAGUCAGAAGUAGCUGGUUAAAGAUCUCAUGUUUAUUACAAAUCAAUGGGAAUCCGAAUGAUUUUCCUCUUCAUCCUCACCAUCCAAGCCAAAUCAAAAGAAAGACAGUUUUCAAACAUCAAAACAAACAGAAUCUCACAAUGAAUACAAAUUACAGUUUUAUAAACUAUCAUACGACACAAGAUGGUGGAAGUAACUGUGUCAGAUUGAAAGUAUUCUCAGCACCCUUCCGAGGAAGUAAGACAGGGAUAACUGUAUUUUUACUUGUGAUCUCAUCAUCCACAUCGAUAUUAACCAGUUCGAAAAAACAAUAAUAAUCAAGUGCUCAAACAAUCUUCAGGGUCGGCACAUUUAGACCCAGAAAGACAAAGAAAAAAAGAAAAAAGGGCACGGCAUGUGAAUGUAUGUGGCGUUUCCAGGAUAAGCUGGCACAGAGGACGCCACCAAUCAGGAUAUACCACACAUCAGAGAAUCGCAUGUAGCGUCCGAGACUAAUCGCCAUGAGGAACACAAAUAAUCCUCAGGAAUUGGUAAUGAACGCGCAUCAAUCAAAAGAAAGAGCUAGAAAAAAAGAUGGAUUCAAUGGGAUGAGAUCUGGGAGCUCAGACAGCCAAGGGGUUGUCUGCAGAUGCCGCUGAAGAGGCGGCAUCAGAAACUCUAGUCCACAAAUUUGUCAUCACCGCUACGACCUCUCAUCGACCAACCAUCGAAAAGAAGAACAUGAAACGAAACCGAAUCGAAAACCAGAGCGAUGCGCAGGGGAGGAGGGCGGAGCCGCGAGGGGAGGAGGGAGCUAUCGGGGUCUGGAGUCUGGAUGCGGCGUUGGUGGGCAUUUAUAUUGAGGUCUGGGCUAUGGUGUCUAGGGUUCGGCUGCAAAUGAGGCGAGCCGACGCAUCGGCCUGCUGGGCUGCCACACAAAGGGCUAACGCGGGUUUUGGUGGGCCGGCCGAACGGUAGACCCGUUUCUCUCCCUCUGCUCAAGCCAACUUCUUAAGGGCGGCAGCAACAGCUGUCCAAUCGGGUCUUCCCCACUCGGGCUAGCCACGAAGUUUUCCCUCUCGCUAGGGUUUCCUGUUCCUCUCGCCGCCUCUGGCGACGUUGAGAAAAACUCCUUCCCUUGUCGCCGUUCGUCGGGUCUUCCCCAUUCGGGCUGAUUCAGGGGCAGCCUGGUGCUGCCGCCCGGCCUUGGUGGGGGUCUGAGGGACGCGACGUUAGGGUUUUUCUGCUACUAGGGUUCUACAGCGGGGGCAACAAGAUCGAUCUGUGAGGUCUCACCAAUGGCGCAGAGAUCGGGUUCGGCUGCGGAUGGAAGCAAGGGUGGCAACCUUGAUAGGCUGAUGCAGGAGCUCGCCCUGAAGGAGGAUGACCUUGAUGAUGUAGUCUUUGAGGAAGACGACGCACCUCUGGAAGAAAACCUCCGGUGGAUGAUCUUGGCCCGUGUCCAUAUGGACAAGUCUUUCAGUACAUAUUGGUUCUUUCGUAACAUGAAGUCAGCCUGGGAUCUAGCAAGGGGAGUCAAGAUCAAAACCCUAAAAGACAAUCUGUUUAUCAUGCAAUUCAAUUGUCUAGGGGACUGGGAGAGGGUAACCCAGGGAGGACCGUGGCACUUUCGGGGGAAUCCGGUGAUCAUUGUCUCGUAUGAUGGCUACUCCAAGCCCACAUCCAUAGAGCUCUUUAAAUUUGAGAUAUGGGCAAGAAUCAUUGAUCUCCCAAUUGCAUACCAUGGAAAAGUGAAGGCGCUGACUGCUAAGAUCGGGGAGUUUGUUGACUCAGAACCAUCUUCCUUCGACUUUGAAGGGAAUUUUUACAGGGUGAGAAUCCGUCUCGAUGUUCGCAACCAACUAAAGAAGGCAACCUCCAUAGUUCGUGGGGGACAGAGGGAGAUCUUUGCGGUGAAAUACGAAAGGCUCCCGGACUGGUGUCAGGUAUGCGGCAUGAUGGGACAUGAGUUUAAAGAACACGGAGACGGUGUGCAUCCCCCCUCGGCCUUAGUAUUCAAGAACCUAAGGGCGCCGGCAACGACUGCAUGGGGAACGAGACGCCGUAACAAUGGCAAGAAACAGUCAAACCAAGGUGGAGGAGGAGAAAGCUCGGAUCUGGAAAAGGAUAGGAGUGCAAUGGAGGGGGAGGAUUUGGACAUGGAGAAAUCUGACCAGAAUCGGAAGCGCUCCUCUGAUGAAGCUGCGGCUGCUGCCAUGACAAUGGCAUCCAAGGGAAGCCUGGAGCUUGUGCCAUUAGCAAACCAGAAAGGAGGAGCGGGUGUGGCCCCAAUGAGCCCGCCACCAAAGCAAGAUCCCAAGCGAUCUAGAGUGAUGCGGCAGUCAGAGAAGGGGGCAAACACAGGGUUGAGGAAGAACCAGGUGGCACCCAAAAACCAAGAUGCAACAUCGGCGGCCUCCUUGUCGGAGGACCGCCGAGCACAAUGAAUCUGUUAAGCUGGAACUGCCGGGGAUUAGGCAACGCCCUGACAGUUCAAGAAUUGCGCGAACUCACGUUAAACUUUGCCCCUAGAGUACUUUGUAUUUUGGAAACACAAAUUAGCCAAGAGAGAGCUGAAAGUUUAGCAAGUACUCUAGGAUAUGAUUGUUCUUUUGCUGUUGGAUCCACCGGUCGGAGCGGUGGCUUAGUUUUGUACUGGAACAAUGAAAUAAAUUGUGAAAUUUUGGGUUACUCGCAGUAUCACAUAUAUGUCAAGGUGACGGGUCUGGGAGGGACCCCGUGGAGGCUCUCGUGUUUCUAUGGAGAAGCCCAGACACACCUAAGACACAGAACUUGGGACACAAUGAAGAACCUGGCGUCGCUACAAUAUAUGUCGUGGGCAUGUUUAGGCGACUUCAACGAGGUCCUUCGAUAUAAUGAGCAUGAUGGUGUUGGUCAGAGAAGCUAAACGCAAAUACAAGGCUUCCGAGAUGCAGUAGAUGUUUGCGGCCUGAUUGAUCUUGGCUUCCAAGGUCAGAAGUGGACGUUUGAAACAAAAGUUACAGGAGGUACGUACACGAGGGUGAGGCUUGACAGAGCGCUCGGAUCUGCCGAGUGGUGUGCACAAUUCCCGUUGGCAGUGGUAGAACAUCUUACUGCUGCAACAUCGGAUCACUCUCCUAUUAUGCUGAAGCUUGACCCUUCUGCUAGAGGGCCGGUGAAAGAGAGACUGUUCCGGUAUGAAUGCAUGUGGGACACGCAUCCCGAUUUGAUCUCCACCGUCCAGAAUGCAUGGGAGGCCAACGGCCCUAACCUGACAGCGGCUGAGGUGCGAGUGAACCUAGAAGCGCUGUCUAACAACUUAGGUGAGUGGAGCAAAUCUACCUUUGGCAAUGUCAAGGCUGAGAUCAGGAAACUAAAGAAGGACCUACAAAGACUAAGGAGUGAUCCUCUACGGGUUGGCCCGAGCCAUGUUGAGAUCAAGGUUAAUGAUCGUCUUAUUGAGCUAUAUCUGUGUGAGGAAGUUAUGUGGCGUCAGCGGUCAAGGGUGGAAUGGCUCUCUGCUGGUGACCGGAAUACGCAUUUCUUCCAUCUUCGGGCCUCUAUGAGACGAUGGAAAAACCUGAUUAAAGCCCUCCAGAAACAUGAUGGACAAUUAACAGAGGAACUUACGGAGAUGUAGCAACUUGCGCAAGAGUUUUAUAAAAAUCUUUACACCUCUGAGGGAGUGGAAGGAGUAGAUGAUGUUCUCCAACAUGUACCCUCGAAGGUAACAGCCGCUAUGAAUGAGUCACUCAUGGCACCAUACAAGGAGGAAGAAGUAAAGAAGGCGAUGUUCCAAAUGUUCCCUUCAAAAGCGCCCGGCCCCAAUGCGUUUCCGGCACACUUUUUUUAGCGCCACUGGGAUGUAUGCGGAGCCUCGGUCACGAGGGCGGUUUUGAGCAUUGUCAGGGGUGAGGAGAGCCCGGCCUGUGUCAAUGACACAGUGUUGGUUUUAAUUCCAAAGGUAUCGAAUCCCACUUUGUUAUCUCAAUUCCGGCCAAUAAGUCUAUGCAAUGUCUUUUAUAAAAUAGCUUCGAAGGUACUAGCCAACCGUUUGAAGUCAAUACUCCCAGACAUUAUAUCAGAAGAGCAGUCCGCUUUUGUUCCAGGAAGGCUUAUCACUGACAACAUAAUUUCAGCUUAUGAGUGUUUGCGUUUCAUGAAGAGAAACCGGUUAAGAAACAACAACCACUGUGCGCUUAAGCUCGAUAUGAUGAAGGCGUAUGAUAUGGUGGAAUGGAAUUAUUUGGAAGCAAUCAUGAGGAAGUUGGGGUUUGCUGCACCAUGGGUAUCCAUUGUCAUGAACAUGGUCAGGACCGUCUCUUUCUCUAUCUUGUUUAAUGGGAGCAAAUUGGAAGAGUUCAAGCCAACACGAGGUAUCCGUCAGGAAGAUCCAAUCUCUCCAUAUCUUUUCUUGCUAGCAGCAGAGGGCCUUUCGUGCCUCUUAAAAUCUCAUAGUGAAUCAUCCCAGCUCAGCGGCAUUAAGGUGGCGCCAUCGGCACCGUCGGUGAACCAUCUUUUAUUCGCGGAUGAUAGCCUGUUGUUUCUCAAGGCGAGUGUAGAUGGGGCAGAUGAGGUGUCACACCUUUUGGAUACAUAUUGCAGGGCCUCGGGCCAACGCAUUAACAGGGAUAAGUCUUCUAUUUUCUUUAGUAAGGGAUGCCCUCAGAUUGUGAGAGAUGCAGUCAAGGGGCGUCUACAUGUUCCAAACGAGUCUCUAAGUGACAGAUACCUGGGCAUGCCCACAGAUGUGGGACACUUGAAGAGAGGCACGUUUAAAUACUUGAGCGACCGCGUCUGGGACAAGGUGAAAGGCUGGAUGGGGAAGUGUUUAUCAGCUGGGGGCAAGGAGGUACUUAUCAAGUCAGUGGCCCAGGCUAUCCCUGUUUACUCAAUGUCAUGCUUUAAGCUGCCAAGAGGACUGUGUGAUCACAUUAAUUCUAUCAUUAGAAAAUUUUGGUGGGGCUGCAAGCAAGGACAGAGGAAGCCAUCCUGGGUUUCAUGGGAGGUCAUGACAAGGCCAAAGUACCUGGGAAGCCUAGGAUUCAGAGAUCUGAAACUUUUUAACCUCGCAUUGUUGGCGAGACAAGCCUGGAGGGUGCUGCAAGAUCCCUCGACCUUGAGUGCCAGAAUCCUGAAAGCAUCAUACUAUCCAACAACAGAUUUGCUUAGUGCUGAACUUGGCUCAAGGCCAUCACAGAUUUGGCGUGCGAUUUUGGAGGGACGAGAUAUUCUGAAACAGGGUAUAAUCCGAAGAAUAGGUAAUGGGCAGUCGACCAAUAUAUGGACACACAAUUGGCUACCGAAGGAAGGUUCGCUCCGACCUAUCACCUGUCUGAUUCCGGAUCCACCUCAACUUGUUUCGGACCUGCUUACUCCAGCAACGGCAUCAUGGAACGUUGACUUCGUUCGUUCUCUAUUUCUCCCAACCGAUGCGGAGGCGGUACUGAAAAUUCCUGUGUGCACAAGCAAUGUUGAUGAUUUUUGGUCAUGGCACCCUGAUUCUAAAGGAAGGUUCACCGCCAGUUCAGCGUACAAAUUCAUUAUCAAGACAAAGAUAACAAGAGAGAAUUGGCUUGAGGGUAGAGGCGGGUCAUCUAGCUCGGACCGAGAAGAGAAGGAUUGGUGCAAACUUUGGUCGUUGACCGUCCCAUCAAAGAUCAGAGUGUUCUUGUGGCGUCUUGCACGCCACUCUUUGCCUACAACAGAUGUCCUCAACAAGAGAAAUAUGUCAACGCGAGAUGCGUGUCCACUUUGCGGCUCUCCUGACUCAUGGCGCCAUGCACUCGUCGCCUGCACAUCAGCGAGGUGCACGUGGGCACUAUCUAAUCCGGAGCCGGUGGCUAGGAUGGCAGAGAACACCGAACCCCGAGCGAAGAACUGGAUCUUCCAGCUUCAUGAGGUUCUUGAGCACAAGCUGUUCACAAAGAUGGUCGUAACUUUAUGGGCAGUAUGGUAUGCAAGGAGGCAGGCGAUACACGAAGGAAUAUUUCAAUCACCCAUGCAGACCCAUUCUUUUGUGGAGUCCUAUCUCCGCGAGCUGGAGCAAGUCAGGGAAAAAACAUCCCCUCGGGUUUCUGCUACACCUAUGAGGGAAGUUGAACAAAGAUGGAUAGCCUCACCACCGGGGUUGGUAAAGUUCAACGUCGAUGGAGCGGUGGCAAGGCGUAGCCGUGGUGGGGCGGUUGCCGCAGUAUGCCGAGACCACACGGGUCUAUACCUAGGAUCAUCGGUGGUGGUUUAUAAUGGAGUUUUUAAUCUGACUAUCUUGGAAACUUAUGCGUGCAGGGAAGCUAUGGCACUUGCUAGUGACCUGCAAGUGUCACAUAUGAUAAUAGCAUGGGAUUGCCAAGGGGUGGUCAAUGACAUCAACCAAGGAACAGGGGGACCGCACUCUGCGAUCAACCAGGAGAUUUUGGAGCGUAGAAAUAUGUUCACUUCUGUUUCUUUUGUUCAUGAGCGGAGAAAUUUUAAUUUCGAGGCUCACAAUCUUGCCAAAUUAGCUUGUAAUCUUCAGUCUGGUAGAUAUCUUUGGUUGGUCAACCCUUAUGAUCAACGUGUUGUACCAAUGAACAUUAUCGAUAAUCAAUAAAGUGGCGAGAUUCCUCAAAAAAAAGCCAACUUCUUAAUGUGUUUCUAAAAUAAAAAACUCCUUAAUGUUAACCCCAAAAAAACAAAUGAUAACCAUCACACAUAUCUGACAUUUUUUACAACUAAAAUUGUCAUACAAAAAAUCCUAAAAAAGACUAAAACUUGUCAUCCAAACAGAAAAUUAUCAUGCUUCACAACUAAAAUUGCCAUCAUUGGAUAAUAAACUUGCCAUAAAAAACGUCAGGGGGGAGUUGUUUCGUGCCACACGUGUGGCACUUUAUCAGGGUCCCUAAAAAAUCGACUCCCGGUUAUCCUACACUCUUUUUUCACGAGGUAGAACACUUGUAUUACUCAAUCACAAUAGAAUAAUAAUCAUCAUUGUUCAACUCAAUGGCAUCAGAGGACCAGACCCCAACCAUGUCCCAAGCUUUCCAAUGUACCUUAUGUCGUCCCUUGCUUGAACAAAAAUAAAAAAUUCUAACCAUCCUCGGAAGAUCAUCACACACCAAGUAGGGAAUUUUAAAUACACCCAUAAUAUACUUAGGUUGCGCUUGCAGAUCAGAUUAGAUGAGGACCUCCCUUCCCGAUCUAUAUUAUCCUAAGAUCUUGAAGAAAUAGCAUCUUUACACUUACAACGACAAAAGGUUCGCACAACAAAUAUCUCCGUGUAUGUCUGGAAAUCAAUAUGGAUGUCCAGACCCUGUUGUUGAUCAUUGACCGGAAGGUGUUUCUGAUCAUGUUUGCAUGUUACCGAACCUGCAAGGUCACACGCUUAACGGACAGUGGUUUGAUAAAGUACUAGGAUGUAUAAAGAGCAUGAGAGAAAUGCAUCGAAAAUGUUCUAGAUAAUACUGGAAGUGUCUCGGGAGGUUAUAGAAAUGUUCUUGUAAAACCGGGAAUGUCCCGGAGAUACCCUGGAAGGUUCUGAAACAUUCCAAAAGGUUCCAAAUGGCCAUACCCCCUUGGCUGGUCCAAGUGGUGCACUCUCUUCCAGACUUGGAGGACAAGCAAUGCGUGCGGCCUGGGUUUGGGAGGGUAUCCCUCCCUGGUCCAUGGGCCCUAAGAGGGCAACCCUCCUCCAAGGCUAUGCCCCCUUGGUCACUAUAAAUAAAGAGGAGAGGCAGCCCUCCAAACACAAAAGUUUUCAGGCUGGGCUCUCUCUCUCUCUCUCUCUCUCCACGCCGCCAGGUUGCUCCACCUCUAGCCCUCCGGUUGCUCUUCGUCCUAGACGACAAAGUGAUGCCGAACAUUGGCAUGGUAAGUGUGAAUACCGUAGAGGGAUUGUACGUUUGAUUCUUGACCGAGAAAAAUCUCAUGAUUGGGAGGUAUAACCUAACUGCGGGAAUAUGUAAAUAUUCACCAACAUCUACUUCUCUGUUGUGUUCUUGUUGGCAAGAUUGAUCUAUCUCUUGCAUCUUCAUAGUGAUCCUCGGUGUGUAUGUAUAGUAAAAAAAUUGUUUUAUACUAUGUUCCCGAACACAAAUUCCACAUGUAUAUUACUUCGUAAUUAAAAUUGCAACAAAACUAAAAAAAGUGCUAGGUUGGUACUAUUUUUUUAAGGAGGAUAAGCCCCCGACCAGGUUGUUACAAUGAAACAUCGGCAAUUUAAUGUGUACCGCUGAGAAGAUCACAUAUGUUGGUUGAGGAGUCGCCUUUUACUAAAUAUGAAAUUGACAUUGUAUUUAAGGAACUCCCUCUUCACAAAGCCCUUGGUCCAGAUGGAUUUAACAUAAACUUUGUCAAGCACAACUAGGAUAUUAUUGCUCAUGACUUCUAUGCUCUAAUUGAAGACUAUUUUCAUGGCAGAAUCAAUCUACAAAGUAUCAAUUCCUCCUACAUUACACUCAUCCCCAAGAUGGACUCCCUAUUUUGCAAUGAUCCCAUGCCUAUUUCUGUGUUAAACUUCUCAAUCAGGAUAAUCACCAAGCUUCUGGCAAAUAGGUUACAAAAGGUUAUUCUAACCAUUGUGCACACCAAUGACCAAUCAAUAUCGCAUUGUGAAAAAUAGAUCCAUGCAGGAUUUCUUGGCCUCGACUUAUGAAUACACAUAUCAAUACCAUUUCUUUGGAAAGGAGUUUCUUAUUUUUGAAACUUGACUUUGAGAAGGCCUUUUACUUGAUUGAGCACCAAACUACCAAGGAGACUUAAAUUCUAGAGGGUUUGGACCUAGAUGGAUCAUGUGGAUGGACAUGAUCUUCUUACUUGGGCCUUCCGCUGAGUCUGACCAAACCAAAAAAUGGAAGAUUUUAUCUCUGUUCUGAAAAGAAUUGGCAAAAGGUUGGCUAGCUACUACACUCUGCUAUCAUAUGGAGACAAUAUGAUCCUUAUCAAAUAUGUGUUUUCUAGUCUACCAAAAAAAUUCAUGAGCACUUUGGCUCUGCCUGCUGGUGUCUUGGAGCAAAUAAACAAAUAUUUAAGGCAUUGUUUUUGGAGAAAGUAUGGAAUGGAGGACAAAGGCUCUACUCUCAUUACCUUAGACAAAGUUUGCCUCCCCAAAGAUCAAGGAGGGCUAGUAGUUUUAGAUGUUGCAACUCACAAUAAGUGUCUCCUAAUGAAACAUCUACGCAAAAAUUUCAAUUGUGACAAUCUACCUUGGGUGAAGUUUAUAUGGAAUUUAUACUAAACUGAAGGACUUGUCACUGACAAACCAAUGAGAUCGUUAUGGUGGAAGAGCAUCGACAGGUUAAUACAUGAAUUCAAACAGGUGGCUAAAGGAAUCAUAGGGAAGGGUAAUACCAUCUUAUUCUGGAAGGAUUAUUGGGCAGAGGGAAAAUCAAAGAGCUUUUUAAUCUACCUAAUUAUACAUGUUAUUCAAACAUGUAACUUUGCAUGUAGAUAUAACAUACAAAAACAUUUGACAUAAAAAAUAGUUUUUUAAUCUAUCUGACUUCACUAUUCAUCUAGGAGCAUAUUAGUUUGUGAGGCAAAAAGCAGCCCCUAAACAAAAGGCAGACAUGUGAGGUCAAUGAUGGUUUCGGUCGAGGUUUCAUUUCCAUUCUUAUGAUGGUAUUGGCCACAUUAGGAGACCAAGAGCGUCUUGAGAUUGAAUUGAGUGCAAGAUAAUUUUAGCACCUUGUUGGAUGCAUGCUCGAGUGCUUGGCGAGAGCAUAUGAGAUGCCAAGAGGGUGAAGAGUGACAUCACCAUCUUGAGUUGCAUUCUAUUGAGUAUGAAGAAGAUAGAGAGGAGUAGAGGUUAGGAGGUGAACUUGUGGCAUCGGAAGACGAGGGAGACGACAAGACGAUGCUAACCAUUUGAUAUUCAGCCACAAUCCCUCAAUAUCGCCCCUUAUUGUUAAUUUGACCCCGUGUCGCCUCCAUGGCAAUAUCUUGUUGAGGUUGCGCCUAGCAAACUUCCUCAACUGCGGUAUCCCGUUGAGGGUGCAGUUGGCAUCACACCGUCGGAUGGCCUCCUCGACGACAACUUGGAUCAUGGCAGCCUAUUUUGCAGCGCACCACGCACGCCCAACUUGACAGUCUGCUCCAUGGCAGCACCUCGGCAACGCGGGUCGGCAGUGGGGGCAUGGAGACAGUUACCACAAGGUUAUCCGAAUGCACCGGUUCUCGAACAACACCUUCAAAAAUAUUGGCAAGGUUACCCAUUGACCUGUUCGUUCAUAAAACAUAGUCUUUUGAUCAUUUUAGAAGAUGUGUGACCUACUCACCUCACAAGAGUUGUGUGACUAUAAAUCAUACACAUUGAAGGUUGUCAUCAUUUGUGAAGACCUUUACGUAGAAAAACAUCAUGUGAAAUUGAUUUGAGGUUAAUGUUUUCAACAACUACGCCCUGCAAGACCAAACAAUUUAUAUAGCAUCGCCAUCUUAUAGAGGGAAGCGCAUUCUUUCCAUCCUCCGCGAGUCAUUCAACACCUUUCGCUCAUAUAUAAAUUGUCGGCAGAUGCAGCACAAGAAAAAAAAAGGCAUAUCCCUAAACGGGUGUGUUCUCUCGGUGCUUCAGAUUUUGGAGUGGUCGGAGGUUCAACAUCUCAUCCUCCAGUUCUUGGCAAAAUCAUCCGAGAAAAUGGAAAAGGAAGCUAAAGAUCAGCUUGAGAAUAGUAGGCGUCGGGAAGAGAAUACUUGGUGAGACGCGAAGACUCUGUACUGAACUGUCCGUUGUAGCACCUGGCUGAUUUGCCAACUGGAAGCUAAUAUGUGGUAAGUCAAGCUGAUUUGCCACAAACCGAAAGAGUUGGGAUGAAAUAAAGUACCAACGAGGUCAAACGAACAACACAACAACGAAAGGUUUGCAGAAAAAUGAUCUAGAGAGCAGGUCUACAGUUUAGGGGAUAAAAGAAAAGCUAUAGCUAGGAGAAGCUGCAAAGUCUGUGUAUUAAUUUUGAAGGAAUGCAAAGAGAGCCUUAGCUCAGUGAUUACGCAUGCGAUCGUGCAGCCUAACCAUUCUGGUUCAAUUCUUAGAAUUGACAAGUGAUGCACAAGUGAUACUUGUAUUGAAAAGGUUGUUUGCAUCCCUAAUUGGUGCAGAGGCCGGAAAGUGAAAUUCUCUCCCAAUUUUAAGACUUGAACAAGGGAUGACUCGCGCUCGCGUCGCCUCCUCCAGACUGACCGAGGCCGCUAACCCUAGCCCCCCUCCCUCCCCUCUCCCCUCGCUGUCCCUAGAGGAGGCUGCCGAGAAAGCCCGUGCAAAGUCAGUGAAAGGAACAACAGGGAUCUCGGGUCCCGCAUCCGUGGCGUGGCACAACGGCAUGAGAUCUUCCUACAGCGGAUGCUCCUCCCGGCGGUGAGGCGUCGCUCCGGUGAUAAUGUGGGGAUGUCGGACUCGACGGAGAUCUACAACGCAAGGGCCUCAGAACAGCGGCUUCGGACACGGCAGCAAUGGUUGCCCCUCCGUCCGAGAUGGCGGCCCAGGAGAUGGCUUCAUGUGGCGGUGGAUCAAGGGAUCCAGUACCCGGGUUCGACGGAGGCAUGUGGCGGCUGGAGCUUUCUCCGGCGUCGAUUGUGCUUUGAUGUGGGAGAUCUGCAGCCCUUUGGGGUUUGCGGAUCGGAAGCCAGCUGUGGGUUCAGGGAGGUGCGGCCAUCGGUGAAAACCACGCCGACUUCAGUCAUGGCAUAAUACUCGAAGAGCAUGUCCUCAUUAGACCUUAUACUACUAUCUAUGUUUUCCUUGCAGUUAACAAGUUUUUAUGGACACUUGUGCUAUUCUUAGCAGGCGUGCUUAAAUAUUUUCACAAGAUGUAUCAGUUUGUCAGUCUAACUCUUGCAUAUGGUUAUUUCGCAGAAAAAAACUCUUGCAUAUGGUUUGUGUGCAGUUCUGAUUUCUUCUAUUUUAAUGUCCACAAAUGCUUAUAAUAUAGUUUGUCUGGUCCAAACUAGAUGUUGCAAUGGUUUGUGUGCAGUUCUUAAAAAAAAAAUUACACCCCGACUUAUAUGAGUCUGCUAGAAACUCAAGGCCUGUCCUUUUGUUGGAGAAUGCAAAGUCCUUGAUAAAAUCGCCUGAUAUCUUCCAUUUUAGUUGCAACAAAUUCUUAAUAAUUUUCGCUGACCACGUAAAAAGUCACAUGGCUGUACUCAUCACGAACACUGCUUUCAGCAAAUUUCCACUUUCAAACUUUUGAUUUCAUAUUAUCAUCAAAAGUGAUGGUUAAAGUUUUGUUUCUUUAUGCUGUGCGGAUUAUAAAAAAUUUGACUUAUGUUUUUAAGGUUAGUGUCAACGUAUUUUCCAAUGACUCCCCCACAAGCCAUAUUCCCGUCAUGACAAAUAAUAUUUUGAAUUAUCUGAUAAGGCAUGUUGUUCAGUAUUUGCCCUAAGGCGGGUCAUGUAGCUUUUACUUAGAUCAGAGCAAGAAACUCUUUUUUAAAGGAACACAAUUGCUGCAUUCCAUUAAACUGAAAAGCUGGACAAAUCCUCAACGCACAGGAUUCACUACAAACUGAGGUAGAUGACCAACUCACACAACCUGGUUCCCCUGAUAGAGCGCCUCACACAGCAGGUUCAUGGGCUACAGUUUAAACAAGACCUCACACAUACAGAAAUUUUUACAUCGCCAUAUGCAACACACAACAUAUAUGAGCUACUAACCUCGAUGUUUCACUUUUACUCGACAUGUUGGUAAGCUAGCUGAUCUUGUAGCUUUUACUUGGAUAAGAGCAAGGAAGUUUGUUUUUUUCCGAAAAAGGGGAGCUUCCCGCCUCUGCAUCAGAACAGUGCAUACGACCAUAUUUAUUAAUAAGCAAAUAGGUUCAACACAAGUCUUGAUGUGUCAAACAAAAGAACAAAAAAAAUGCUUAUAAAGAGCAGAAAAAUAAAAGUAAAGCCACAACCGACUGGCAUAAGAAAGAUAUGAAAACUAAUUGCCUAUCCUAUUACAUAACCGCCAUCCAAACUGGUUGAAAAUAGCUCGAGGUAUCAUCUCCCAUCGGAUAGAUUCAGUAACCAUACGCUCCCUGGCCUCCAUCAGAGUAAGUAGCGACCACAUACGGAUCAAAGCAGUGGCUCAGAAAAUAACCUGCAAAAAAUAAAUAUUUGUUGUUCUGUAGAAGACCAAAUUAUUUCUGCAGUUCCAGACUACCCAUAAUAAAGCACAUACUCCUACACGAAUGUGACCCGCUGUUUUAGAAUCUAUCCUGUCAAGCCACAUCCCAAAUAAAGUGUUGAUAGUAUUCGGAGUAAUAUUAAAGGCUAUGUGAACCGUUCGCCAUAAUUUUUUUGCCAACGGGCAGUCAAGAAACAGGUGUUUGAUGGAUUCAUUCCGAUCACAAAAACUACAUCUUGUAGAUCCUAUCCAGUUACGUUUUGCCAAGUUGUCCUAAUUAAAAUGACUUGUUUGUGUACAAACCACAUAAACACGUUAACUUUCAAAGGUACUUUGACUUUCCAAACAUGUUUCGAACUAGGAAUAGAGCUAGAAUUGAUAACAUCGAGAUACAUGGAUUUAACAAUGUUGGCGUCCUAGGAACGGGGGUCCCCAGACUUGCCUGCCUGCGGCCCACGACGUGGCUCCGUCAGCGGCCCCGUACGGCCCAUCUUCACCAGCAAACACUCAAGGCCUUCGCGAGGGGCCGAGCCUUGCGAGGCGGAUGACGUGAGACCUCCUCGGGGGCGGCCUCACCAGGCCGACCCGCGAGGGGCGGAGAGAUCAAGGCAAGCGACACCUCGCGAGGUUCCUGUGACGCAAGCCGUGACGACCAAGGCCAGGCAGGCGCCAGCGCAUAGUGUCCUCGUUUCCUCUUUGGUGCUAAAGAGGCAAGCGCAGGCGAGGAGUCCCGAGGCCUCAGGCAAAGGUUUCCAUAUCGGUGCAACGAGACCAAGACCAGCAGGACGACAUGAUGGAGGUCACCGUGGAGCCCAGAACAACGUCACCACCAGAGCCUUUGGCAGCCGAAGACCAUCUUUUGUCAGGAUAGCUUGUACUAGCUGUCCCCCUUCAAAUUGGCCGUUGUGGGAUACCUUCCCGCCUAAUAUUUGGGAAGAGGACCUGGGCCUCUAUAUAUAGGACUAGCCACCACCGUAGGCGGGGGAUCAUCUCAUCUUGGACCGGAUCCAUUCCACCAAGACCACCACACAAACCCACCAAGCACAAGAGCACCUCUCCUUAGGAGGCUGUUCUUCCCUUAUAACUGUUCAUCCUUCGCUCAAGAGGCAAUCCAUCACACCACACUAGAGUAGGGUAUUACACCAUAUUGGUGGCCCGAACUAGUAUAAAUCUUGUGUCUCUUUGUUUUGCGAGUUCGACGUGCUGAGCCUUGAGAUCGCGGUGAGGGCGUGAGCUAGAGGGGGGAGAGAUCUUCGCGCGCACCUCAGUGUUCGAACCUCAAGGGUUUUGCCGGGACCUGAAAUCUGACAUUUGGCGUGCCAGGUUGGGGUGCGCCAAAGCUUUCCUUCCGCUGAUCCGUGUUCCACCGCUCCAACGCAUCCAUGUCAGACGCACGCCGAGCCCGCGCCGAGCGCCGUGCCGCCCUUGUCGCCCAUGUCGCUCAGACAGCCCCUGUCGGCGGGCUUCCCCGUCGUUCUCCAUCUCCUGUUGCCAACGCUGCUAUCGGCCCGGCGGCAAACGAGCAGCAAGCGUCCUCACUGCACCCCUCCGUGCGGCGGGACGGUCGCACCGCCUCCUCAUCGCUGACUCCGGCCGUCUCAUCGUUUCACGCUCGCCGCGCACCCACGGACAUGCAGGCUACGCUGCUCAUGGCGCGCAAGCUCCUGCGCUACCGCCCGGUCGACGACCUCUACGAGGACUGGUUAGACCGCAUUGCCGAGCUCAUCAGCGCCGCUGGGGGCUCUCCUGCACCAUCCCUCUCGCUGCCUCGCCCACCUCCAGCCGCGGGCAACGUAGCUCACGGAGCGCCUCCGCCGCCUCCGCAUCAAGACGGCGCCCUUGCCCCGAGACGCGCAGCUCACGAAGCGCCAUCGCCCCCUUCGUGUCAAGAUGAUGUCCUCGCCCCAAGAGGCACGGUCCCGCGGGAUGACCCGCCAUGCCGUGUGCCCGCACAUGAAGAAGGAAGCUGCCAAGAGGUUCCUCGGCCGCAAGAAAACGCUCCAGUGCUCCCGGCGCCGUGACAAAACCACGUGCCACCCGUGGCGGUGGUGCGCGGACAUCAAGGGCAGGCUCCGCCCCUGUAGAGGGCCCUGGUGGCCACCGCAGGUUGCCGCGCCUUCGCUCCCGAGCUCCGCACCGUUGUUUGGCUAGGCAAGUUCAAGCCGGAUCUGCCUCCGCGCUAUGACGACACCCCGACCCUGCGGAGUUCCUGCAGCUCUACGAGCUGAGCAUCGAGGCGGCCAACGGCGACGAAAAGGUCAUGGUGAACUGGUUUCCCAUGGCUCUCAAGGAUGGCGCCCGCUCAUGGCUCCUGAACCUGCCUGCGAGAUCGAUCUCCUCCUGGGGUGAGAUGCGCGACCGCUUCAUCGCCAACUUCCAGGGCACUCGCGACCGUCCUCCGGCCGCGGGUGACCCGCGCCGCAUCAAACAACAGCCGAGAGAGACUCUGUAGAAGUACAUCCAGCGCUUCAACAGCGUCCACCUCAAGAUCCCCAAGGUGACGGACGAAGCCAUCAUCUCAGCGUUCUCCGAUGGCGUCCGCGACAUCAAGAUGAAGGAGGAGCUCGCCAUCCACGAGGAGCUGUGCAUGACUCUAGAGUUGUUCAACAUAGCGACCAAGUGCGCAAGAGCUGAGGAAGGGCGUCUCUCCCUCCUCGAGCUCCCUGCUGCCGAACCAGAAGAGAAGAAGGCCAAGGUCAAGGACGUGAAGUGCAAGGGAGUGGCCGUACUCGCGGCAGAGCCGGACAUGAAGCGCGGCCGGGACCACCCCGAGUCGUCCAAGGGCAGCCGUCCGUUCUGCGCCUUCCACAACGUACACAGCCACAACACCAACGAUUGUCAAGAGCUCAGGGCCAUCCGAGAUGGAUGCUUCGGUCGACGCCCCGAGCGCAAUGACCGGGGCUACGACCGGGGAGGAGGACGAGUUGGAGGACGCUGGGACAACCGCGGCCCACGCCAGGAGUGACGCGACCGGCCUCGUGAGGACCACUGGCAGGAGCAGCCUCAUGAGGGCACCUGGCGCGACCAGCCUCGUGAGGACCAUUGAUACGUCCAUUUUGCAUCAUGCUUUUAUAUUGAUAUUUAUCACAUUAUGGACUGUUAUUUCACUUUAUGUCACAAUACUUAUGGCUAUUCUCUCUUAUUUUACAAGGUUUACAUAAGGAGGGAGAAUGCCGGUGAUAUGUCUCCAACGUAUCUAUAAUUUUUGAUUGCUCCAUGCUAUAUUAUCUACUGUUUUGGACUAUAUUGGGCUUUAUUUUCCACUUUUAUAUUAUUUUUGGGACUAACCUAUUAACCAGAGGCCCAGCCCAGAAUUGCUAUUUUUUUGCCUAUUUUAGUGUUUCGGAUAAACAGAAUAUCAAACGGAGUCCAAACGGAAUAAAAUCUUCGGAAACGUGAUUUUCUCACCGAACGUGAUCCAGGAGACUUGGACCCUAGUGCAAGGGAUCAAAGAGGUGGUCACGAGGGUGGGGGGAGCCCCCCUAGGGCGCGCCCCCUGCCUCGUGGGCCCCUCGGUGCUCCAUCGACGUACUCCUUCCUCCUAUAUAUACACACGUACCCCCAAACGAUCAGAACAGGAGCCAAAAACCUAAUUCCACCGCCGCAACUUUCUUUAUCCACGAGAUCCCAUCUUGGGGCCUGUUCCGGAGCUCCGCCGAAAGAGGGCCGUCAUCACGGAGGGCUUCUACAUCAUCCUAGCCCCUCCGAUGAAGUGUGAGUAGUUUACCUCAAACCUUCGGGUCCAUAGUUAGUAGCUAGAUGGCUUCUUCUCUCUCUUUGAAUCUCAAUACAAAGUUCUCCCCCUCUCUUGUGGAGAUCUAUUCGAUGUAAUCUUCUUUUUGCGGUGUGUUUGUUGAGACCGAUGAAUUGUGGGUUUAUGAUCAAGUCUAUCUAUGAAUAAUAUUUGAAUCUUCUCUGAAUUCUUUUAUGCAUGAUUGGUUAUCUUUGUAAGUCUCUUCGAAUUAUCCAUUUGGUUUGGCCAACUAGAUUGGUAGUUCUUUCCAUGGGAGAAGUGCUUAGCUUUGGGUUCGAUCUUGCGGUGUCCUUACCCAGUGACAGAAGGGGCAGCAAGGCACGUAUUGUAUCGUUGCCAUAGAGGAUAACAAGAUGGGGUUUAUUUCAUAUUGCAUGAAUUUAUCUCUCUACAUCAUGCCAUCUUGCUUAAGGCGUUACUCUGUUUUUAACUUAAUACUCUAGAUGCAUGCUGGAUAGCGGUCGAUGAGUGGAGUAAUAGUAGUAGAUGCAGAAUCGUUUUGAUCUACUUGUCACGGACGUGAUGCCUAUAUAAAUGAUCAUGCCUAGAUAUUCUCAUAAUUAUGCUCAAUUCUAUCAAUUGCUCAACAGUAAUUUGUUCACCCACCGUAGAAUACUUAUGCUCUUGAGAGAAGCCACUAGUGAAACCUAUGGCCCCGGGGUUUAUUCUCAUCAUAUCAAUCUCCAUCACCUUUAUAUUAUUUUGCUAUUUACUUGCCUUUACUUUUUACUUUGCAUCUUUAUAUCAAAAAUACCAAAAAUAUUCUAUCUAUCAGAUCUCACUCUCGUAAGUGACUGUGAAGGGCUUGACAACCCCUAAUCGCGUUGGUUGCGAGUAGCUAUCGCUUUGUGCAGGUACGAGGGACUUGCGCGUGGGCUCCUACUAGAUUGAUACCUUGGUUCUCAAAAACUGAGGGAAAUACUUACGCUACUCUACUGCAUCAUCCCUUCCUCUUCGGGAAAAACCAACGCAAGCUCAAGACGUAGCAAGCAGGAUUUCUGGCGCCGUUGGGAGUCUACGCAAAAAGUCAAUAUACCAAGUACCCAUCACAAUCCCUAUCUCUCGCAUUACAUUAUUUGCCAUUUGCCUCUCGUUUUCCUCUCCCCCAAUUCACCCUUGCCGUUUUAUUCGCCCUCUCUCUCUAUCCUCCCUCUGUAUUUGGCUCUUUUUGUCCGCUUGCUUUUUGUUGGCCCGUGUGUUAGAUUGCUUGUUUGUCGCGAUGGCUCAAGAUGCUACCAAAUUGUGUGACUUCACCAAUACCAAUAAUAAUGAUUUCCUUAGCACUCUGAUUGCUCCUCUUACCGAUGCUGAAUCUUGUGAAAUUAAUACGGCUUUGUUGAAUCUUGUUAUGAAAGAUCAAUUCGCCGGCCUUCCUAGUGAAGAUGCCGCUACUCAUCUGAAUAGCUUCGUUGAUUUAUGUGAUAUGCAAAAGAAAAAAGAUGUCAAUAAUGAUGUCAUUAAAUUGAAGCUAUUUCCUUUUUUGCUUAGAGAUCGUGCUAAAGCUUGGUUUUCGUCUUUGCCUAAGAAUAGUAUUGAUUCAUGGAACAAAUGCAAAGAUGCUUUUAUCUCUAAGUAUUUUCCUCCUGCUAAGAUCAUCUCUCUUAGAAACAAUAUAAUGAACUUUAAACAACUUGAUCAUGAACAUGUUGCACAAGCUUGGGAGAGAAUGAAAUUAAUGAUACGUAAUUGCCCUACUCAUGGUUUGAAUUUGUGGAUGAUUAUACAAAAUUUUUGUGCCGGAUUGAAUUUUGCUUCUAGAAAUCUUUUAGAUUCGGCCGCGGGAGGCACUUUUAUGGAAAUCACUUUAGGAGAUGCUACUAAACUCCUAGAUAAUAUUAUGGUUAAUUAUUCUCAAUGGCAUACUGAAAGAACUUCUAAUAAAAAGGUGCAUGCGAUAGAAGAAAUUAAUGUGUUGAGUGAAAAGAUGGAUGAACUUAUGAAAUUAUUUGCUACUAAGAGUGUUUCUUCUGAUCCUAAUGAUAUGCCUUUGUCUACUUUGAUUGAGAAUAAUAAUGAAUCUAUGGAUGUGAAUUUUGUUGGUAGGAAUAAUUUUGGUAACAACGCUUAUAGAGGGAAUUUUAAUCCUAGGCCAUAUCCUAGUAAUCCUUCUAAUAAUUAUGGGAAUUCCUACAACAACUCUUAUGGAAAUUAUAAUAAGAUUCCCUCUGAUUUUGAAUCUAAUAUUAAAGAAUUUAUUUCUUCGCAAAAGAAUUUUAAUGCUAUGAUUGAAGAAAAAUUGCUUAAGAUUGAUGAUUUGGCUAGGAACGUUGUUAGAAUUGCUCUUGAUGUUGAUGCUUUGAAACUUAGAUCUAUUCUACCUAAGCAUGAUAUUAAUUAGUCUCUAAAAGCCAUGAGAAUUUCAAUUGAUGAGUGUAAGGAAAGAACCGCUAGGAUGCGUGCUUCCAAAGAUGCCUUUAUUAAAGCAUGUUCUUCCAAUUCCUAUGAAAAUCAAGAUGAAGAUCUAAAAGUUAUUGAUGUGUCUCCAAUUAAAUCUUUAUUUUGCAAUAUGAAUCUUGAUGAAACUUAAUAUGAUCUUCCUUUACCUAGAAGGCGUUCUAAAAAUUCGGAGUGUUUAGAUCUUAAUGAUGAAAUUGAUGAAAGUGGGAUUGAAAGAAAUAAAAAUCUAGAUGUUGCUAAACCCACUAUAUUGGAUUUCAAGGAAUUUAAUUAUGAAAAUUGCUCUUUGAUUGAUUGUAUUUCCUUGUUGCAAUCCGUGCUAAAUUCUCCACAUGCUUAUAGUCGAAAUAAAGCCUUCACCGAACAUAUUGUUGAUGCCUUGAUGCAAUCUUAUGAAGAAAAACUUGAGUUGAAAGUUUCUAUCCCUAGAAAACUCUAUGAUGAGUGGGAACCAACUAUUAAAAUUAAAAUUAAAGAUCAUGAGUUUUAUGCUUUGUGUGAUUUGGGUGCUAGUGUCUCUACUAUUCCCAAGACUUUGUGUGAUUUACUAGAUUUCCGUAAUUUUGAUGAUUGCUCUCUAAACUUGCAUCUUGCGGAUUCCACUAUUAAGAAACCUAAGGGAAGAAUUAAUGAUGUUCUUAUUGUUGCAAAUAGGAAUUAUGUGUCCGUAGAUUUCAUUGUUCUUGAUAUAUAUUGCAAUCCUUCUUGCCCUAUUAUUCUUGGUAGACCUUUCCUUAGAACGGUUGGUGCGAUUUAUUGAUAUGAAGGAAGGGAAUAUUAGAUUUAAAUUUCCAUUAAAAAGGGCAUGGAACACUUUCCAAGAAAGAAAAUAAAAUUACCAUAUGAAACUAUCAUGAGAGCCACUUAUGGAUUGCCUACCAAAGAUGGCAAUACCUAGAUCUAUCCUUGCUUGUUAUGCCUAGCUAGGGGCGUUAAACUAUAGCGCUUGUUGGGAGGCAACCCAAGUUUAUUUUUAUUCCUUGAUUUUUGCUCCUGUUUAGUAAUAAAUAAAUUAUUUAUCCUCUGUUUUGGUUGUGUUUUUUGUGUUUAAUUAGUGUUUGUGCCAAGUAGAACCGUUGGGAAGACUUGGGGAAAGUCUUGUUGAACUUGCUGUAAAAAACAGAAACUUUAGCACUCACGAGAACUUCUGUCAUUCUUAUUUGAAGGGUGAUAUUUAGUUAAUUCUUUUUGCAUAUGAUUAAUAGAUAAAUUCCUCACGUCCAGAAAUUUAUUUUAGAAUUUUUGGGGUUCCAUAUGUUGCGCUAGCUACAGAUUACUACAGAAUGUUCUGUUUUUGACAGAUUCUGUUUUUCGUGUGUUGUUUGCUUAUUUUGAUGAAUCUAUGGUUAGUAAAAUAGUUUAUAAUCCAUAGAGAAGUUGGAAUACAGUAGGUUCAACACCAAUAUAAAUAAAGAAUGAGUUUAUUACAGUACCUUGAAGUGGUCUUUUGUUUUCUUUCGCUAACGGAGCUCACGAGUUUUCUACUUUAAGUUUUGUGUUGUGAAGUUUUCAAGUUUUGGGUGAAUUCUUGUGAUGGAUUAUGGAACAAGGAGUGGCAAGAGCCUAAGCUUUGGGAUGCCCAUGGCACCCCCAAGAUAAUCCGAGGACACCAAAAAGUCAAAGCUUGGGGAUGCCCCGGAAGGCAUCCCCUCUUUCGUCCACUUCCAUCGGUAAUUUACUCUAUGUGCUUCACUUAUAUCUUUUGAGCUAGAUAAUUUUGCUCUAUGUGCUUCACUUAUAUAUUUUGAGCGUUAUAAUUUUGCUCUAUGUGCUUCACUUAGAUCUUUUAGAGCAUGGUGGUGGAUUCGUUUUAAAGAAACCAUUGAUCUCUCAUGCUUCACUUAAAUUAAUUUGAGAGUCUCUUAAUAGCAUGGUAAUUUGCCUAAUAAUAAUAUGCUUGGUAUUCAAGAUUUGUGAAACUUUCUUUUGAGUGUGUUGAAUACUAAGAAAAGAUUGAAGCAUGAUAAUUGUUUGAUAUAUGGAGGUGAUAAUAUUAAAGUCAUGCUAGUUGAGUAGUUGUGAAUUUAAAGAAUACUUGUGUUGAAGUUUGUGAUUCCCGUAACAUGCACGUAUGGUGAACCGUUAUGUGAUGAAGUCGGAGCAUGAUUUAUUUAUUGAUUGUCUUUUCCUACCAAUCUAUCCCCCUAGGAGCAUGCGCGUAAUACUUUGCUUUGAUAACUUCUAAAUUUUUGCAAUAAGUAUAUGAGUUCUUUAUGACUAAUGUUGAGUCCAUGGAUUAUACGCACUCUCACCCUUCCACCCUUGCUAGCCUCUCUAAUACCGCGCAACUUUCGCCGGUAUCAUACACCUACCAUAUACCUUCCUCAAAACAGCCACCAUACCUACCUAUUAUGGCAUUUCCAUAGCCAUUCCGAGAUAUAUUGCCAUGCAACUUUCCACCAUCUUGUUCAUCAUGACAUAUCCAUCAUUAUCAUAUUGCUUAGCAUGAUCAUGUAGUUGACAUAGUAUUUGUGGCAAAGCCACCGUUCAUAAUUCUUUCAUACUUGUCACUCGUGAUUCAUUGCAUAUCCCGGUGCACCGCCGGAGGCAUUCAUAUAGAGUCAUACUUUGUUUUAGUAUCGAGUUGUAAUCAUUGAGUUGUAAAUAAAUAGAAGUGUGAUGAUCAUCAUUCAAUAGAGCAUUGUCCCAAAAAAGGCCAAAGAAAAAAAGAAGGCAAAAAAAUAAUAAAAAAAUAAUAAAAAGGGGCAAUGCUACUAUCCUUUUUUCCACACUUGUGCUUCAAAAUAGCACCAUGAUAUAGCAAGUCUCAUAUAUUGUGCUUCAAAGUAGCACCAUGUUCUUCAUAUAGAGAGUCUCAUAUGUUGUCACUUUCAUAUACUAGUGGGAAUUUUACGUUAUAGAACUUGGCUUGUAUAUUCCAAUGAUGGGCUUCCUCAAAUUGCCCUAGGUCUUCGUGAGCAAGCAAGUUGGAUGCACACCCACUAGUUCCUUUUGUUGAGCUUUCAUACAUUUAUAGCUCUAGUGCAUCCGUUGCAUGGCAAUCCCUACUCACUCACAUAGAUAUCUAUUGAUGGGCAUCUCCAUAGCCCAUUGAUACGCCUAGUUGAUGUGAGACUAUCUUCUCCUUUUUGUCUUCUCCACAACCACCAUUCUAUUCCACCUAUAGUGCUAUAUCCAUGGCUCACGCUCAUGUAUUGCGUGAAGAUUGAAAAAGUUUUGAAAAAGUUAGAGUAUGAAACAAUUGCUUGGCUUGUCAUCGGGGUUGUGCAUGAUUUAAAUACUUUGUGUGGGGAAGAUGGAGCAUAGCCAGACUAUAUGAUUUUGUAGGGAUUACUUUCUUUGGCCAUGUUAUUUUGAGAAGACAUAAUUGCUUUGUUAGUAUGCUUGAAGUAUUAUUAUUUUCUAUGUCAAUAUAAACUUUUGUCUUGAAUCUUUCUAAUCUGAAUAUUCAUACCACAAUUAAGAAGAUUUACAUUGAAAUUAUGCCAAGUAGCACUCCGCAUCAAAAAUUCUCUUUUUAUCAUUUACCUACUCGAGGACGAGCAGGAAUUAAUCUUGGGGAUGCCUGAUACAUCUCCAACGUAUCUAUAAUUUUUGAUUGCUCCAUGCUAUAUUAUCUACUGUUUUGGACUAUAUUGGGCUUUAUUUUCCACUUUUGUAUUAUUUUUGGGACUAACCUAUUAACCGGAGGCCCAGCCCAGAAUUACUGUUUUUUGCCUAUUUCAGUGUUUCGGAUAGACAGAAUAUCAAACGGAGUCCAAACGGAAUAAAAUCUUCAGAAAUGUGAUUUUCUCACCGAACGUGAUCCAGGAGACUUGGACCCUACUGCAAGGGAUCAAAGAGGUGGUCACGAGGGUGGGGGGCGCCCCCCUAGGGCGCGCCCCUGCCUCGUGGGUCCCUCGGUGCUCCAUCGGCGUACUCCUUCCUCCUAUAUAUACACACGUACCCCCAAACAAUCAGAACAGGAGCCAAAAACCUAAUUCCACCGCCGCAACUUUCUGUAUCCACGAGAUCCCAUCUUGGAUGCACUAUUCUCCCUGAGUAUGCACCGUUGCGAAAGUUCUUCGUGCUGAGACACCACGUGAUGAUCGGGUGUGAUAGGCUCUACAUUCAAAUACAACGGGUGCAAAACAGUUGCACACGCGGAAUACUCAGGUUAUACUUGACGAGCCAAGCAUAUACAGAUAUGGCCUCGGAACACGGAGACCGAAAGGUCGAGCGUAAAUCAUAUAGUAGAUAUGAUCAACAUAGUGAUGUUCACCAAUGAAACUGCUUCAUCUCACGUGAUGAUCGGACAUGGUUUAGUUGAUUUGGAUCACGUGAUCACUUAGAGGAUUAGAGGGAUGUCUAUCUAAGUGGGAGUUCUUAAGUAAUAUGAUUAAUUGAACUUAAAUUUAUCAUGACCUUAGUCCUGGUAGUACUUUGCAAAUUAUGUUAUAGAUCAAUAGCUCGCGUUGUUGCUUCCCUGUGUUUAUUUUAAUAUGUUCCUACAGAAAAUUGUGUUGAAAGAUGUUAGUAGCAAAGAUGCGGAUUGGAUCCGUGAUUUGAGGUUUAUCCUCAUUGAUGCACUGUGACGCCCCCGAUUCAAUCGUACACUAAUCAUGCACGCAAACGUGUACGAUCAAGAUCAGGGACUCACGGGAAGAUAUCACAACACAACUCUAAAAUAUAAAUAAGUCAUACAAGCAUCAUAAUACAAGCCAGGGGCCUCGAGGGCUCGAAUACAAGUGCUCGAUCAUAGACGAGUCAGCGGAAGCAACAAUAUCUGAGUACAGACAUAAGUUAAACAAGUUUGCCUUAAGAAGGCUAGCACAAACUGGGACACAGAUCGAAAGAGGCGCAGGCCUCCUGCCUGGGAUCCUCCUAACUACUCCUGGUCGUCGUCAGCGGGCUGCACGUAGUAGUAUGCACCUCCGGUGUAGUAGGGGUCAUCGUCGACGGUGACGUCUGGCUCCUGGACUCCAGCAUCUGGUUGCGACAACCAGAAAGAAAGGAAAGGGGAAAAAGUGGGGAGAAAGCAACCGUGAGUACUCAUCCAAAGUACUCGCAAGCAAGGAACUACACUACAUAUGCAUGGGUAUAUGUGUAAGGAGGCCAUAUCGGUGGACUGAACUGCAGAAUGCCAGAAUAAGAGGGGGAUAGCUAGUCCUAUCGAAGACUACGCUUCUGGCAGCCUCCGUCUUGCAGCAUGAAGAAGAGAGUAGAUUGAAGUCCUCCAAGUAGCAUCUCCAAGUAGCAUCUCCAAAUAGCAUCUCCAAAUAGCAUCUCCAAGUAGCAUCUCCAGUAGCAUCGCAUAGCAUAACCCUACCCGGCGAUCCUCCCCUCGUCGCCCUGUGGAAAAGCGAUCACCGGGUUGUCUGUGGAACUUGGAAGGGUGUGUUUUAUUAAGUAUCCGGUUCUAGUUGUCAUAAGGUUAAGGUACAACUCCAAGUCGUCCUGUUACCGAAGAUCACGGCUAUUCGAAUAGAUUAACUUCCCUGCAGGGGUGCACCAACUUACCCAACACGCUUGAUCCCAUUUGGCCGGACACACUUUCCUGGGUCAUGCCCGGCCGCGGAAGAUCAACACGUCGCAGCCCCACCUAGGCAAAACAGAGAGGCCAGCACGCCGGUCUAAACCUAAGCGCGCAGGGGUCUGGGCCCAUCGCCCUGAGCACACCUGCACGUUGCGUGGGCGGCCGAAAGCAGACCUAGCCUAGUGGCGUUCCAGUCCAAUUCGGCGCGCGCCGCUCCGUCGCUGACGUCUGAAGUGCUUCGGCUGAUACCACGACGCCGGGAUACCCAUAACUACUCCCGUGUAGAUGGUUAGUGCGUAUAGGCUCGUAGCCAACUCAGAUCAAAUACCAAGAUCUCGUUAAGCGUGUUAAGUAUCCGCGAACGCCGAACAGGGCCAGGCCCACCUGUCUCCUAGGUGGUCUCAACCUGCCCUGCCGCUCCGCCACAAAGUAACAGUCGGGGGCCGUCGGGAAUCCAGGCCCACCUCUACCGGGAUGGAGCCACCUGCCCCUUCAGCCCCCAACUCCGAACAGUAUCACAGGUAAUGUAACAGUGUAAAGUAUAUAGUAUAUGCCCGUGAUCACCUCCCGAAGUGAUCACAGCCCAGUAGUAUAGCAUGGAAGACAGACAAGAGUGUAGGGCCACUGAUGGAACACUAGCAUCCUAUACUAAGCAUUUAGGAUUGCGGGUAAGGUAUCAAUGACUGUAGCAGCAAUGACAGGCUAUGCAUCAGAAUAGGAUUAACGAAAAGCAGUAACAUGCUACACUACUCUAAUGCAAGCAAUAUAGAGAAGAGUAGGCGAUAUCUGGUGAUCAAGGGGGGGGCUUGCCUGGUUGCUCUGGCAAGAGAGAGAGGGGUCGUCGGUGAUGUAGUCGACCACAGGGGCAUCAGCAUCGUCACGGGGUCUACCGGAGAGAAAAGGGGGGAGAGGAGAAACAGUAAAUACAUAGCAAUCAAGUGCAUAACAGGAUAACAGGCAGAGCUAGACGUGUUCUACGCGGUAGGAGGUGAUACCGGUGAAGGGGGGAAGCAUCCGGGAAGUAUUCCCGGGGUUUCGUGUUUUCGGGCAGAGGAGCCGGAGGGGGGGAAAGUUGCGAGUUCGAUAGGUUAGGGGGGUGUGGCGGACGAACGGGUUGCGUAUCCGGAAUCGUCUCGUUGUUCUGAGCAACUUUCAUGUUGAAAAUAUUUUAAUCCGAGUUACGGAUUAAAAGAUAUGAUUUUCUAAUGAUUUUAUUAAUUUCUGGAAUUUAUUUAAUUAUUUAAUUAAUUCGGAAAAUGGAUUUAUGACGUCAGCAUGACGUCAUGCUGACAUCAGCAGUCAACAGGGGUUGACUGGGUCAAACUGACGCGUGGGUCCAAUGGGACCCACCUGUCAUACUCUGUUAGGUUAAUUAGGAUUUAGUUAAACUAAUUACUGUUUAAUUAAGCUAACAGGUUAAUUAGAUUAAUUAAUUAAGGUUAAUUAACUUAAUUAAUUUAGUUAAUUAAUUAAUUAAUUAAAUUUAUUUUUAUUUUAAUUAUUGUUUUAUUUAUUUUUAUAUACUUUUUUUUAACGUUCUGGGGUGGGACCCCCAUGUCAUUGGCCCCAGGGGGCCGAUGCGGGCAUGGGCGCGUGGGUGCCUGAUACGACACCCGCCCAGGCCAACCGCGGUGGCGGGACUGGCGGGGCACGGUGGGGUGCCAGCGACGCAGGGAGGCAGGGGGCGUGCGCUCGUGGAGCCGGGCAAGGACGGCGACGAGCGGGCACGAUGGAGGCGGGGCCGCUGNNNNNNNNNNNNNNNNNNNNNNNNNNNNNNNNNNNNNNNNNNNNNNNNNNNNNNNNNNNNNNNNNNNNNNNNNNNNNNNNNNNNNNNNNNNNNNNNNNNNNNNNNNNNNNNNNNNNNNNNNNNNNNNNNNNNNNNNNNNNNNNNNNNNNNNNNNNNNNNNNNNNNNNNNNNNNNNNNNNNNNNNNNNNNNNNNNNNNNNNNNNNNNNNNNNNNNNNNNNNNNNNNNNNNNNNNNNNNNNNNNNNNNNNNNNNNNNNNNNNNNNNNNNNNNNNNNNNNNNNNNNNNNNNNNNNNNNNNNNNNNNNNNNNNNNNNNNNNNNNNNNNNNNNNNNNNNNNNNNNNNNNNNNNNNNNNNNNNNNNNNNNNNNNNNNNNNNNNNNNNNNNNNNNNNNNNNNNNNNNNNNNNNNNNNNNNNNNNNNNNNNNNNNNNNNNNNNNNNNNNNNNNNNNNNNNNNNNNNNNNNNNNNNNNNNNNNNNNNNNNNNNNNNNNNNNNNNNNNNNNNNNNNNNNNNNNNNNNNNNNNNNNNNNNNNNNNNNNNNNNNNNNNNNNNNNNNNNNNNNNNNNNNNNNNNNNNNNNNNNNNNNNNNNNNNNNNNNNNNNNNNNNNNNNNNNNNNNNNNNNNNNNNNNNNNNNNNNNNNNNNNNNNNNNNNNNNNNNNNNNNNNNNNNNNNNNNNNNNNNNNNNNNNNNNNNNNNNNNNNNNNNNNNNNNNNNNNNNNNNNNNNNNNNNNNNNNNNNNNNNNNNNNNNNNNNNNNNNNNNNNNNNNNNNNNNNNNNNNNNNNNNNNNNNNNNNNNNNNNNNNNNNNNNNNNNNNNNNNNNNNNNNNNNNNNNNNNNNNNNNNNNNNNNNNNNNNNNNNNNNNNNNNNNNNNNNNNNNNNNNNNNNNNNNNNNNNNNNNNNNNNNNNNNNNNNNNNNNNNNNNNNNNNNNNNNNNNNNNNNNNNNNNNNNNNNNNNNNNNNNNNNNNNNNNNNNNNNNNNNNNNNNNNNNNNNNNNNNNNNNNNNNNNNNNNNNNNNNNNNNNNNNNNNNNNNNNNNNNNNNNNNNNNNNNNNNNNNNNNNNNNNNNNNNNNNNNNNNNNNNNNNNNNNNNNNNNNNNNNNNNNNNNNNNNNNNNNNNNNNNNNNNGGCCGGUUGGCCCAGUGGGGGUCCCUUUUCUUUUCUUUUGUUUUUACUUUUAUUUAUUUUACCUUUUCUGUUUUAGUUUUGUUUCCUAUUAUUUUAGUUUUAUUAAAAUACACACGUAGCAUCUAAUUUAGUAUUUCAACUUAGUCCAUAGUCACAAAAAGUCUAAUCCUCAAAUAAAUUAGUUUGACAUUUUAUUAAUUACAAAAGGUAUUUAAAUAAUUGUUUUCACUAUUGUUUUAAUUGUUUUAGGGCCUUUAAACAUUUUAUCAAAGUUUGGUUUCUCCACCAUAAUUACCUAUGUAUUAUUUGGUUCACGCCGAACAUUUAAAUCUUAAUAUUUGAAAACUUUUAUUGUUUGCUCGAUUUUGAAUUUGAAAUUCGAACUAGGUUCCGAACUAACGCGAGUUUAUCCACAGUAACCGAGAUAACGUGGCAUCAUUAGUGGGGAUUACUGUAGCUUAAUUACCCGGGCGUCACAAUUCUCCUCCACUACAAGAAAUCUCGUCCCGAGAUUUAAGAGGGGAGUAAGGGGAAAGUUCUGGCUACGAUAUUCUAACGGAUCUUCUCGAAGAAGUUAAUUCCUUUUGUUGAUGUCUUCAAUCCUUUAUUCCGAUGCAUCAUGAUAAACUUGUCAUCAUUUCUUCGGGAGCUCCAUCGUACUUACGAAAAGAUAAGGGGCA